AUCGGUUUGGGCGAUGGCGCGCAGAUCGGUGCCGUCGAUCGUAAUGAUGCCCUCGUCCGGAUCGUAGAACCGGCA
rnacentral:tRNA from 1 species